rnacentral:rRNA from 1 species
GACGAACGCUGGCGGCGUGCUUAACACAUGCAAGUCGAACGGAAAGGCCCUUCGGGGUACUCGAUUGGCGAACGGGUGAGUAACACGUGGGUGAUCUGCCCUGCACUUUGGGAUAAGCCUGGGAAACUGGGUCUAAUACCGAAUAGGACCACGCGCUUCAUGGUGUGUGGUGGAAAGCUUUUGCGGUGUGGGAUGGGCCCGCGGCCUAUCAGCUUGUUGGUGGGGUAAUGGCAUACCAAGGCGACGACUGGUAGCCGGCCUGAGAGGGUGAACGCCCACACUGGGACUGAGAUACGGCCCAGACUCCUACGGGAGGCAGCAGUGGGGAAUAUUGCAGAAUGGGCGCAAGCCUGAUGCAGCGACGCCGCGUGAGGGAUGACGGCCUUCGGGUUGUAAACCUCUUUCAAUAGGGACGAAGCGCAAGUGACGGUACCUAUAGAAGAAGCACCGGCCAACUACGUG